rnacentral:sRNA from 1 species
UGCACUGAAUCGGUUUGGUUUCUCGGAUUGCUUGGGAAAGUACGGAGUCCUCCAUCUGCAGAUCCCGCACUUCCUCAGGCAUCACAAUUGUUUUUUUUUUCUUUGUCUCCCGAGCGAUGCAGUUAGUCCGCCGUGGCUGGCUUGGCUGGUGCCUGUUCAGAAUAUUAUCGUCCUCUGGAGUGGGUUGUGGGGUUGUGGAGGGAAGAGAAAAUUGAAACAGGAUAUGGCUGGCAGUACAGGGUUACCGGGAACGCUGUGAACGUUGAUUCUUCUGUUGCAAUAUUAUUGAUAGAAAGGUUGAGGAUCUGGAGGAGAUGGCGGACUCGGUGUCUGGUUAACCUUCAUUUACUGAGAACAGGGUCUGCCAACCCUACCUCAAAUAAGGCAUGCUACAUUAACUACGUUAAAGAGCAGAAUUAUCUGUCUAACAAAGCUUCGAGGACAGAACUGGUGGUAGAGAGGUGACUUCUGCGCAGCUUUAUUGCCUCCUAAAUAUGCGG